rnacentral:lncRNA from 1 species
UUUUGUUGUUGGUGCGCGACGCAGUCAGCUGCGUGAUUCCCGUGAUUGCGUUACAAGCUUUGUCUCCUUCGACUUGGAGUCUUUGUCCAGGACGCCAUUAUUUGGAAAGCAGGUCUAUAAAUGAGAAAGAUUAUCAUAGUCGACGCUACAUUGAUGAGUACAGAAAUGACUACACUCAAGGAUGUGAACCUGGACAUCGCCAAAGAGACCAUGAAAGCCGGUAUCAGAACCAUAGUAGCAAGUCUUCUGGUAGAAGUGGAAGAAGUAGUUAUAAAAGCAAACACAGGAUUCACCACAGUACUUCACAUCGUCGUUCACAUGGGGUAUGAACGUUUUUAAAACAUUUUGGAAAUUUUAUAUCCCAUGUGGAACAGGGAAACUUGAAUUUUUGUGUUUGAUUAUUUGAGAAAGUUUUAAGAUGAAAUCAUCUCAGUUUUAACCUGCAGGAUUUUUUCUGUGUUUGUGCAUUGGAUAGGAAAUUCCGGAAAUAAAGUACACAUUUAGUUCUAUAAUUUAAUUAUUGGUUGGCUCCUAAUUGACAUUCCAGUGAAAUGAUGGGAGUUAAUUGAUUUAAUUUAGAUUAGUUGAAAAUUAUU